rnacentral:misc_RNA from 1 species
UCCAGUUCAUCACCGGCAGUCUCCUUAGAGUGCUCCGACCCUGCGGCCGGUUAGCAACUAAGAACGAGGGUUGCGCUCGUUGCGGGACUUAACCCAACACUUCACAGCACGAGCUGACGACAGCCAUGCACCACCUGUGCAAGCUCUCGACUUAACGAGUCGUUCCGCUUUCACUUCACUACUUCUUGCAUGUCAAACCUAGGUAAGGUUCUUCGCGUAGCGUCGAAUUGAACCACAUGUUCCACCGCUUGUGCGGGCCCCCGUCAAUUCCUUUGAGUUUCACCCUUGCGGGCGUACUCCCCAGGUGGAGGACUUAAUGGGUUACCGUCGGCACCGAUCCCUAAUGGGACCAACACCUAGUCCUCAACGUUUACAGCGUGGACUAC